rnacentral:rRNA from 1 species
AUUGAACGCUGGCGGCAGGCCUAACACAUGCAAGUCGAGCGAGAAAGGUCUUCGGACUGAGUACAGCGGCGGACGGGUGAGUAAUGCGCAGGGAAUCUACCUGGUAGUGGGGGGAUAACUCGGGGGAAACUCGAACUAAUACCGCAUACGCCCUACGGGGGAAAGCGGGGGACCUUCGGGCCUCGCGCUAUCAGAUGAGCCUGCGUAGGAUUAGCUUGUUGGUGAGGUAAAGGCUCACCAAGGCGACGAUCCUUAGCUGGUCUGAGAGGAUGAUCAGCCACACUGGAACUGAGACACGGUCCAGACUCCUACGGGAGGCAGCAGUGGGGAAUAUUGCACAAUGGGCGAAAGCCUGAUGCAGCAAUGCCGCGUGUGUGAAGAAGGCCUGCGGGUUGUAAAGCACUUUCAGUAGGGAGGAAACAGUANCCGGUUAAUAUCCGGUUGCCUUGACGUUACCUACAGAAGAAGCACCGGCUAACUCUGUGCCAGCAG